rnacentral:tRNA from 3 species
GCCCCUGUAGCUCAGAGGUAGAGCACCUCCAUGGUAAGGAGGGGGUCAGCGGUUCAAAUCCGCUCGGGGGCU